rnacentral:rRNA from 1 species
AUUGAACGCUGGCGGCAGGCCUAACACAUGCAAGUCGAGCGGAUGAAGGGAGCUUGCUCCUGGAUUCAGCGGCGGACGGGUGAGUAAUGCCUAGGAAUCUGCCUGGUAGUGGGGGAUAACGUCCGGAAACGGGCGCUAAUACCGCAUAUGUCUUGAGGGCGUCAGUGGGUGAUCUUCGGACCUCAGGCUAUCAGAUGAGCUUAGGUCGGAUUAGCUAGUUGGUGGGGUAAAGGCCUACCAAGGCAACGAUCCGUAACUGGUCUGAGAGGAUGAUCAGUCACACUAGAACUGAGACGCGGUCCAGACUCCUACGGGAGGCAGCAGUGGGGAAUAUUAGACAAUGGGCGAAAGCCUGAUCCAACCAUGCCGCGUGUGUGAAGAAGAUCUUCGGAUUGUAAAGCACAUUAAGUUGGGAAGAAGGGCAGUAAGUUAAUACCUUGCUGUUUUGACGUUACCAACAGAAUAAGCACCGGCUAACUUCGUG